CAUAUUAACGAAGCUUUUAACAAAAGGAUAUGAACUUUAACUAUUUAAAAAGUAAAAGUAAAAUUUAUUUGAAGACAUGGUUGAUACACUGACAGACUUGUUACCAAUGAGUGUUAAAAACUCUUACAAGGCAUUGUUAAACAUUUUUUUAAUUCGUAAAUUUUAUAUAGUAACCUGAACAAUUUUAAUUAUUUCAUUUCUGGUUACCCAAAAGGAUGGACCUUUAAAAGACCAUGCCAAAUGGUUUCGUAAUAGAUAAAAAAUAAAUUUAACUCCUCAAAGUGUCAUCCAAUCAACCUCCAAAUAGGGAAAAAAAUCAUAACUAUAUCACUCCAUAAGAUCCAUUAGAAACGUUUGAAGCAAUAAGACCAUUCAAAAUCAUGCCUUCUAUUCACAGUCGUUCAAAAUUGCGACAAGUUGAAAAUCACAAUCAAUCUCAGAUGUGGAACAAAACCUUUAAAUCAAAGGAAACUUGAUAUAAAACAAACUCAUCAUUCCAGCCAAUCAAACCUAAAUGUUUGAAGCAUUAAAAUCAUUCAAAAUCACAUCAAAUUGAGGAAUAAGUUUAAAGGGUUCUAAAAUUAUUUUAGUAAUUACCUCAAGAAUUAAUUAGAUGUACUACAAGACCGACAACUAAAAAUUCGAAGUUAUUAAAAAUCAAUCCCUCCAUCAUUAGGUUUUAUAGAUUCAACUUCAUAAAUGCCUUAAAUUUAAAACCAAAGAAAAAUAUCAAUAAAAUUUCAUUACUGGUAGAUAGUACUAUGAAUGAAGCACCAAAUUAUAUCUAUCAACAGCAACCACCUGCAACAUGUUUAUUGAUUAUAAGACUCGGAUUAAAAGGCUAGGUCAUCUUCUCUAAAAGGCAUACACUUUGACAAAAAAAAAAAAAAAAACAUGAAGCACAUGAUUGAAAUCGUUCAGUGACCUGUGCAAAAGAACCUCCACCACCGAUGUUUUCAUCAAUGGAAAACAAUAAGUUAGCAGCUAGUUCUUCUGCUGUAACCACUUCCAACUUCAAAACAACUCCACCAAUACCUCUUCUUUUAUUGGAAAAUAAUACCAAAAAAGAAAAGCCAAAAGAGGGAAAAAUAUCGAGGGAAACUGCUUAAUUUCAACCAUUUUGACAUAAUUGUAAAAAAUUAGUAACUCUUAUUUUCCAUCUCAAUCUCCAAAUUUCAAGCUUCAAAAUUAUGAAAAUUAAAAAACAAAAUGACAAAAGAUCCUUGUUAUGUCUUCCCUAGUUAGACCAAAUUUCAUGGAGCUUCUUUAAAUUUGGUGUGAAAGGGCACUCACCGACUCCUUAAAUUAGAGUUGGAGUAUUGGACCUUCAGAGAUAGAAAGCAAUUCUAUCAGUUGUGUGUCUAUCUACUCAAUGUAGAAGAUUUUUUUAUACCAUAUGUUAGUCAAGUUAAAGGGAUUCAUCAAGUUUAUAUGUUUCUAAAUCUACUUUUAGAUAGGAAAUAUCCAUUCUGCAAAUAACAUACCAGUAGUUAAUUAGUACUUAUCCAAUGUAAUUGGUAAUUCUUCCAAGACCAAUUACCGAAGGCGAGCUACCUGCAUUUCGGAAACUAAAAAACCACAGAUUGGGUCCUGUAAAACAAGUCUUUGACAUCCAAAAGCAACCAUAUGUUCCCCAAAUCCGUAACAUUUUCUAUCAAUAAAAUAACCAAUUGAUAAAUAGCUAAAAAGAAAAUAAGCAUAAAAAGGAGCUGUUAGAAGAAAGAGAACCGAAGGGUAUCAACAUAAAUCUAAAUCCCUUAAUCUCUUUAUGUAUUCAACUCUGUGAGGGCUUGUUACAUCCGACACCAUUGAAGUUGAAUAAAAAAUUCAAGGUGGAAAAGAUUAGGGAGAAGUUGUUAAUGAUAUUUUGCAGCUUUAAAAAAUAAAGAAUUAGGGAAAAGGAAACCAGAGGGAAUGAAACGAAAGUCGGGAAGAGGGGCAUUAAUCUCAACUUCUCUCCAAGUCUUCUUCCUCAGAAAACGUCCAGAGUUGCCAUGAUCAAAUUCUUUUACUCAAAAUAUAACACCCAUCCAAACUGGAAAAAAAAAAUAAGAAUGAAGCACUAAUAUUGAGGUCAAAUACAAAAUUGAAUUACACACCAUCGUUAAGAUAAUUUAACCUAAUAAUCUUAUAUAUAAAAAUAGAACCUCUAAAUGGCAAGGCUUCCUCAAUAACAAACUACAAACAUAAACAAAAAUGUUAACAUGAUUUCUUUCUUCAAUAAAAAGCAUCGACAAAAAAUAACAGAAAGUAGAUGCCUACCUUCACUAUUCACUGAGAGUGAUUUGAGGAGAUUAGGUUUAAGAUCAUGUUUCUCGGGAACAAGAGAGGCAACGGUGUCGUCGGAAAAAAUAAAUAAGAAUAAUAUCUGCAGAACGUAGGUUUCAGAACAGAGAAAAACAAAGAAAAGCAAAUGAAGCCAAUCGAUUUUAAGAGACCAGUUUUCUUAAGAGGGAGGUAUGCACGCGCAAGAUAGCAAGCUGGUGAAUCAGGCAAACAGAUAACAUCAUAUAUCUGGGACGGAGAGACGUUAGCGGUCCCUGAACGCCAUACCUAGUGCAAGAG
rnacentral:lncRNA from 1 species